ACGCUUGAUCUGAGCCGUAAGAGGACGGCUCAGAUCAAGUGUAGUACCUGUUCUUAUCAGUGUAACGGCUGAUACUAUCUCCACGGGAGAAUACUGUUUUUUCUCUGCUGUUACAGUCCCGGCACCCCCC
rnacentral:snRNA from 1 species